rnacentral:rRNA from 1 species
AUUGAACGCUGGCGGCACGCUUCACACAUGCAAGUCGAACGAGUGGCGGACGGGUGAGUAAUGCUUGGGACUCUGGCUUAUGGAGGGGGAUAACGACGGGAAACUGUCGCUAAUACCGCGUACCAUAGGAUGAGCCCAAGUGGGAUUAGGGAGUUGGGAGGUUAAUGGCCUACCAAGCCGACGAUCUCUAGCUGGUAUGAGAGGAUGACCAGCCACACCGGGACGGAGACACGGCCCGGACUCCUACGGCAGGCAGCAGUGGGGAAGAUUGGGCAAUGGGGGAAACCUGACGCAGCCAUGCCGCGUGAAGGAAGAAGGCCUUCGGGUUGUAAAGUUCUUUCGGUGACGAGGCGUUAAUCACAGAAGAAGCACCGGCUAACUCCGUGCCAGCAGCCGCGGUAAUAC